CAACCCUCAAGACCCCUUCGGGGGACUUGGUGUUGGGGACCGGCACAGGGGCCUGCCUGCUUGUCUUGCAGCGCCCUCGCCGCCCCCGAAAUGAAUUGGCGGCCUCGUCGCGGCCUCCCCUGCGUAGUAGCACAACCUCGCAACGGGAACGUGACGGCGGCCACUGCCGUAAAACAACCCCAAUUUUAUUAG
rnacentral:misc_RNA from 1 species